GGACCCGUAGUGUAAUUGGAUGCACUUCCCAUAUAACUCUAAUCUUAUGCGGGACGGUAUAGGUUCGAGUCCUAUCGGGCCCG